rnacentral:rRNA from 1 species
UACGUAGGUCCCGAGCGUUGUCCGGAUUUAUUGGGCGUAAAGCGAGCGCAGGUGGUUUAUUAAGUCUGGUGUAAAAGGCAGUGGCUCAACCAUUGUAUGCAUUGGAAACUGGUAGACUUGAGUGCAGGAGAGGAGAGUGGAAUUCCACGUGUAGCGGUGAAAUGCGUAGAUAUAUGGAGGAACACCGGUGGCGAAAGCGGCUCUCUGGCCUGUAACUGACACUGAGGCUCGAAGGCGUGGGGAGCAAACAGG